rnacentral:rRNA from 2 species
GUUGUAUGGUUAAGUGACGAAGCGUAGACGGUGGAUGCCUAGGCAGUUGGAGGCGAUGAAGGACGUACUAACUUGCGAUAAGCCAUGAUGAGGCAGUAAGAGCCACUUGAGUCAUGGAUUUCCGAAUGGGGCAACCCAGUGUGCUUGCACACUAUCCUGCACUGAAUACAUAGGUGUAGGAGGCAAACCCGGAGAACUGAAACAUCUAAGUACCCGGAGGAACAGAAAUCAACCGAGAUUUCCUUAGUAGCGGCGAGCGAACGGGAAGUAGCCCUUAAGCAAUCAUGGUGUUAGUGGAAUGUGCUGGAAAGCACAACGAUACAGGGUGAUAGUCCCGUACACGACGGCAACAUGGCUGUGAAAACGAGUAGGUCGGGACACGUGUUAUCUUGACUGAAUAUGGGGGGACCAUCCUCCAAGGCUAAAUACUCCCAACUGACCGAUAGUGAACUAGUACCGUGAGGGAAAGGCGAAAAGAACCCUGGUGAAGGGAGUGAAAUAGAACCUGAAACCGUCUACGUACAAGCAGUAGGAGCCUUCUUCGUGAGGGUGACUGCGUACCUUUUGUAUAAUGGGUCAGCGACUUAUAUUUUGUAGCAAGGUUAACCGCAUAGGGGAGCCGUAGGGAAACCGAGUCUUAACUGGGCGCUUAGUUGCAAGGUAUAGACCCGAAACCGGGCGAUCUAUCCAUGAGCAGGUUGAAGGUUGAGUAACAUCAACUGGAGGACCGAACCCACAUCUGUUGAAAAAGAUGGGGAUGACUUGUGGAUCGGAGUGAAAGGCUAAUCAAGCCCGGAGAUAGCUGGUUCUCCCCGAAAGCUAUUUAGGUAGCGCCUCGGACGAAUACCACUGGGGGUAGAGCACUGUUUGGGCUAGGGGGUCAUCCCGACUUACCAACCCCAUGCAAACUCCGAAUACCAGUGAGUACUAUCCGGGAGACACACGGCGGGUGCUAACGUCCGUCGUGAAGAGGGAAACAACCCAGACCGCCAGCUAAGGUCCCAAAGUACCAGUUAAGUGGGAAACGAUGUGGGAAGGCUCAGACAGCUAGGAGGUUGGCUUAGAAGCAGCCAUCCUUUAAAGAAAGCGUAAUAGCUCACUAGUCGAGUCGGCCUGCGCGGAAGAUGUAACGGGGCUCAAACUGGUCACCGAAGCUGCGGCUGCAUACAUUGUAUGCGGGGUAGGGGAGCGUUCUGUAAGCCUGCGAAGGUGAGUUGAGAAGCUUGCUGGAGGUAUCAGAAGUGCGAAUGCUGACAUGAGUAACGACAAUGCGGGUGAAAAACCCGCACGCCGGAAGACCAAGGGUUCCUGCGCAACGCUAAUCGGCGCAGGGUGAGUCGGCCCCUAAGGCGAGACCGAAAGGUGUAGUCGAUGGGAAACGGGUUAAUAUUCCCGUACCUUGGAUAGCUGCGAUGGAGAGACGGAGAAGGCUAGGUGAGCCGGGCGACGGUUGUCCCGGUUUAAGCGAGUAGGGAGUGGGCUUAGGCAAAUCCGGGUCCACAAUCCUGAGACGUGACGACGAGUGCCCAAGGGCGCGAAGUCAUUGAUGCCCUGCUUCCAGGAAAAUCUUCUA